AGAGUUUGAUCAUGGCUCAGGACGAACGCUGGCGGCGUGCUUAAUACAUGCAAGUCGAGCGGACCUUUGCCGUUUGUUGCCGGUUUCCGGCGACAAAUGGCAAAGGUUAGCGGCGAACGGGUGAGUAACGCGUGGGUAAUCUGCCCCCAAGACCGGGAUAACAGAGCGAAAGCGCUGCUAAUACCGGAUGACCUCUCUUUAUCGCAUGGUGAAGGGAGCAAAGCUACGGCGCUUGGGGAUGAGCCCGCGUUCCAUUAGCUAGUUGGUGAGGUAACAGCUCACCAAGGCGACGAUGGAUAGCCGGCCUGAGAGGGUGACCGGCCACACUGGGACUGAGACACGGCCCAGACUCCUACGGGAGGCAGCAGUAGGGAAUUUUCGGCAAUGGGGGAAACCCUGACCGAGCAACGCCGCGUGAGGGAUGAAGGCCUUCGGGUCGUAAACCUCUGUCUUUGGGGACGAUAAUGACGGUACCCGAGGAGGAAGCCCCGGCUAACUACGUGCCAGCAGCCGCGGUAAU
rnacentral:rRNA from 1 species